rnacentral:lncRNA from 1 species
CUUAGAAUACAAUAAAUGGAUAGUUAAGUUAUGAGCUAUUUGGUGAUCAUGCCAAAGCUUCUGGUCUAGGCACUUAUUCAGAAAUAAUUCAGUUUCAAGAGUUGUUACUCUCAGAACAAAGGAGAAAGGUUCAUCUCUACAGGAAUAGCCCCAAUAGUCUCAUCUGAUUGAAUACUUGGUCGUUAAGGACUGUUACUAUUAGAAAGUAUGUUGGAGUAGGAGUGGACUUGUUGAAGGAAGUAUGUCACUGUCAGGACAAUCUUUAAUGUCUCC